rnacentral:piRNA from 1 species
UGAUUAAUACAUUAUCUGGUUGAAGUGUC